rnacentral:rRNA from 1 species
AACAAAAUUAUUUCAAUUAUUUACUCCUUUCGUACUAAAAUAACCUCUUGUUUUCUAAGAGAUAGAAACCAACCUGGCUCACACCGGUUUGAACUCAAAUCAUGUAAAAUUUUAAAGGUCGAACAGACCUUCUUAUAUAACCUCUUCAUUAUAUAGAUUUUUUAAUUCAACAUCGAGGUCGCAACCUUCCUUUUCGAUAAGAACUCUUAAAAGAAAUUACGCUGUUAUCCCUAAAGUAACUUAACCUACUAAUCUUCAAAAAGGAUCUUCUACAAAAUUAUCACUAAUAAUUGUCAUAAACUACUAAGCAGUUAAAAUAAAUUUUACUUAUGUCUCCCCAACACAACAAAUAAUUAAAUUAAAUUUUUUAUUUAUAAAUUCAAUAAAAUAUAACUACAAUGUAAAGUUUUAUAGGGUCUUAUCGUCCCCUUAGCUUAUUUAAGCCUUUUCACUUAAAAGUUAAAUUCAAAAUUAAUAUAAAGAGAGUUACUCUUUUGUCUAACCAUUCAUACAAGAUUCCAAUUAAAAACCUAAUGAUUAUGCUACCUUUGCACAGUUAUUAAUACUGCGGCCCUUUAAUUUAAAAUCAGGGGGCAGGCCAAAUUAUUUAUAACUACAAAUAAACAUGUUUUUGAUAAACAGGCAAAGAAAUUUAUUUGCCAAAUUCCUCUAUAUUAUCCUUCUAAUUAUAAUAAUUUUUUUACUAUUUUAACUUAUUCUUUAAUAAUAAACUCCUACUAAUAAAAUCAUUUCAUUUUAUUAUAUUAAAUUCUUAAUAAAUCCCUAAUACAUGAAUAAAACCACAUAAAAAUAAUAUUAUUUUAAGUUUUAGUUAAAACACCUUAUAAACAUAGCUACUUUUAAGCUUAGAUAAAACACAAAUUUUAUUUUUUACUAUUAACUAAAUAAAAAGCUUUCCCCUUCUAUUUUUACCUUUUAUAUAUUAUCAUCUAUAUAAAAAUUAAAUUUAAUUUAACUUUCAGAGAACUAGAUAUCAUAAAACUCGACUAACAUUUCACUUCUAAUUUCAUAUUUAAAAUUUUUAUAUUACAAAAACUCUUUUAUAAAAUUAACUAUUUUUAUUUCGAGAUCCUUAAUAGUACUUAAUAAUAUAUUAAUUUUCCCUAAUACCCAAGGUACAAAACAUUACUUCUACUUUACUUCUUUUAAUUUAUUUCAAACUUUCCUUUACAGUACUUUUCCCUAUAGCAAUAUUAACCUUUUCAUUCAAAAUUACUAAAAUUUACCUUAAUUAAAAUAUUUUUCAAAUAUAAUUUCUUAUAACAUUUUAUCAUAUUAACAAGAUAAAAAAC